rnacentral:rRNA from 1 species
CAGUAGCCACGGUAAUACGAAGGGUGCAAGCGUUAAUCGGAAUUAUUGGGCGUAAAGGGCUCGCAGGCGGUUUCUUAAGUCUGAUGUGAAAGCCCCCGGCUCAACCGGGGAGGGUCAUUGGAAACUGGGAAACUUGAGUGCAGAAGAGGAGAGUGGAAUUCCACGUGUAGCGGUGAAAUGCGUAGAGAUGUGGAGGAACACCAGUGGCGAAGGCGACUCUCUGGUCUGUAACUGACGCUGAGGAGCGAAAGCGUGGGGAGCGAACAGGAUUAGAUACCCCUGUAGUCCCUGUCUCUUAUAC